UCAAAAGGUAAAGAGUAUGUAACAGGUUGAC
rnacentral:piRNA from 1 species